rnacentral:misc_RNA from 1 species
UUAUUAAAUUAACUUUAUACUCCGACGUAAGAAUGCAGUGUUUUGAUGACCUCCGGGGGGAAUGCCGAAUGAACGGCAGGGUCGCCCCCGAAGCAACGAGAUUCGUUCACAAAGGGUUGGAGGUUCGGGAUUGCUCCCUAACUCAGUAAUGAUCCCUCCGCAGGUUCACCUACGGAGA